UACGUAGGGGGCAAGCGUUGUCCGGAUUUAUUGGGCGUAAAGAGCGUGUAGGCGGCUAGGUAGGUCCGUUGUGAAAACUCGAGGCUCAACCUCGAGACGUCGAUGGAAACCAUCUAGCUAGAGUCCGGAAGAGGAGAGUGGAAUUCCUGGUGUAGCGGUGAAAUGCGCAGAUAUCAGGAAGAACACCCGUGGCGAAGGCGGCUCUCUGGUACGUGACUGACGCUGAGACGCGAAAGCGUGGGGAGCGAACCGG
rnacentral:rRNA from 1 species